AACGAACGCUGGCGGCAUGCCUAACACAUGCAGGUCGAACGAGACCUUCGGGUCUAGUGGCGCACGGGUGCGUAACGCGUGGGAACCUGCCCUUAGGUUCGGAAUAACUCCCCGAAAGGGGUGCUAAUACCGGAUAAUGUCUUCGGACCAAAGAUUUAUCGCCUUUGGAUGGGCCCGCGUUGGAUUAGCUAGUUGGUAGGGUAAAAGCCUACCAAGGCGACGAUCCAUAGCUGGUCUGAGAGGAUGAUCAGCCACACUGGGACUGAGACACUGCCCAGACUCCUACGGGAGGCAGCAGUGGGGAAUAUUGGACAAUGGGCGAAAGCCUGAUCCAGCAAUGCCGCGUGAGUGAUGAAGGCCUUAGGGUUGUAAAGCUCUUUUACCCGGGAUGAUAAUGACAGUACCGGGAGAAUAAGCUCCGGCUAACUCCGUG
rnacentral:rRNA from 1 species